UCUCCGUAGGUGAACCUGCGGAGGGAUCAUUACAGAGUUCAUGCCCUACCGGGUAGAUCUCCCACCCUAUGUUAUUAUUACUUUGUUGCUUUGGCGGGCCGUUAGGCUCCGGCCCGACUACCGGCCCCGGCUGGUAAGCGCCCGCCAGAGGACCCAAAACCCUGAAUAUUAGUGUCGUCUGAGUACUAUAUAAUAGUUAAAACAUUCAACAACGGAUCUCUUGGUUCUG
rnacentral:misc_RNA from 1 species